GGCUCCGUAGUUCAAUGGAUAGAAUGGAAGAUUCCGGUUCUUCUGAUGUGGGUUCGAUUCCCGCCGGGGCUA
rnacentral:tRNA from 2 species